GGUCGUAUAGUGUAGCGGUUAGCACAGCGGAUUCUGAUUCCGCUAACCCUGGUUCGAAUCCAGGUUCGACCU
rnacentral:tRNA from 1 species